rnacentral:rRNA from 1 species
AGCUAGUUGGUGAGGUAAGAGCUCACCAAGGCGACGAUCAGUAGCUGGUCUGAGAGGACGACCAGCCACACUGGAACUGAGACACGGUCCAGACUCCUACGGGAGGCAGCAGUGGGGAAUUUUGGACAAUGGGCGCAAGCCUGAUCCAGCCAUUCCGCGUGAGUGAAGAAGGCCUUCGGGUUGUAAAGCUCUUUCGCAAGGGAAGAAACGAUGCAGACGAAUAAUCUGUGUUAAUGACGGUACCUUGAUAAGAAGCACCGGCUAACUACGUGCCAGCAGCCGCGGUAAUACGUAGGGUGCAAGCGUUAAUCGGAAUUACUGGGCGUAAAGCGUGCGCAGGCGGCCUUAAAAGUCAGAUGUGAAAUCCCCGAGCUCAACUUGGGAACUGCGUUUGAAACUCUAAGGCUAGAAUAUGUCAGAGGGGGGUAGAAUUCCACGUGUAGCAGUGAAAUGCGUAGAGAUGUGGAGGAAUACCAAUGGCGAAGGCAGCCCCCUGGGAUAAUAUUGACGCUCAUGCACGAAAGCGUGGGGAGCAAACAGGAUUAGAUACCCUGGUAGUCCACGCCCUAAACGAUGUCUACUAGUUGUUGGUGGAGUAAAAUCCAUGAGUAACGCAGCUAACGCGUGAAGUAGACCGCCUGGGGAGUACGGUCGCAAGAUUAAAACUCAAAUGAAUUGACGGGGGCCCGCACAAGCGGUGGAUUAUGUGGAUUAAUUCGAUGCAACGCGAAAAACCUUACCUGGCCUUGACAUGUAGCGAACUUUCCAGAGAUGGAUUGGUGCCCGAAAGGGAACGCUAACACAGGUGCUGCAUGGCUGUCGUCAGCUCGUGUCGUGAGAUGUUGGGUUAAGUCCCGCAACGAGCGCAACCCUUGCCAUUAAUUGCCAUCAUUUAGUUGGGCACUUUAAUGGGACUGCCGGUGACAAACCGGAGGAAGGUGGGGAUGACGUCAAGUCCUCAUGGCCCUUAUGGCCAGGGCUUCACACGUAAUACAAUGGUCGGUACAGAGGGUUGCCAACCCGCGAGGGGGAGCCAAUCCCAGAAAGCCGAUCGUAGUCCGGAUUGUAGUCUGCAACUCGACUACAUGAAGUCGGAAUCGCUAGUAAUCGCGGAUCAGCAUGUCGCGGUGAAUACGUUCCCGGGCCUUGUACACACCGCCCGUCACACCAUGGGAGUGGGUUUUACCAGAAGUAGGUAGUCUAACCUUCGGGGGGACGCUUACCACGGUAGUAUUCAUGACUGGGGUGAAGUCGAAACAAGGUAGCCGUAUCGGGAGGUGCGGCUG